GACGAACGCUGGCGGCGUGCCUAAUACAUGCCAGUUGAGCGCUGAAGGUUGGUACUUGUACCCACUGGAUGAGCAGCGAACGGGUGAGUAACGCGUGGGGAAUCUGCCUUUGAGCGGGGGACAACAUUUGGAAACGAAUGCUAAUACCGCAUAAAAACUUUAAACACAAGUUUUAAGUUUGAAAGAUGCAAUUGCCUCACUCAAAGAUGAUCCCGCGUUGUAUUAGCUAGUUGGUGAGGUAAAGGCUCACCAAGGCGAUGAUACAUAGCCGACCUGAGAGGGUGAACGGCCACAUUGGGACUGGGACACGGCCCAAACCCCUACGGGAGGCAGCAGUAGGGAAUCUUCGGCAAUGGACGAAAGGCUGACCGAGCAACGCCGGGGGAGGGAAGAAGGUUCUCGGAUCGGAAAACUCUGUUGGUAGAGAAGAACGUUGGUGAGAGUGGAAAGCUCAUCAAGUGACGGUAACUACCCAGAAAGGGACGGCUAACUACGUG
rnacentral:rRNA from 1 species